AUUUUUAAUAUUACAUAUUACAUUUGAAUGUUCUUAAAACCAGGAAAACAACAAACAAAACAAUUAUGACAUACCAGAAAGGGGCAUUCAGUGCACAGCAUAUAUUCUCAAAUAUAAAUAAUCCUCUACUCCCAGAAAAAUAAUUCCUAAGAUUUUUGUCUAAAGUCAAUUAUGGUGUUAUUAAGUAAAAUUGUAUAUACACUUCUAAUUUCUUCCAUUUAAAAACAUUUCAUAUUAAAAGUAAUAAUCAACUAAACUCUGUAAUACAGGGGUAAGCCAAUAAUAAAAAGGCCCAGUUUAGGAUGAAAGUCACUGUUUUUUGUGGUGAUUUGGAAAUUCCCAAUUAAUGAAGUUGAUGAAAAAUUAAGUGGUAGACUUUAAUUGCUGGAGAGAUAACUUGAACUUUGUAGGUAUUUGAAUGCUAAUGUUCUGGAUUUUCAUUUGCUUCAUCAGAAUUCACUCAAUAAUUCUAACUUAUACAAUAGUCAAGGCAACAGAAAAGAAAUACAGCUUGGAGGCAGAGGCUGAUCUUGAUUUUCCUAAUUCUCUAUUGCCUGAGAAGCCAUCUACACACAUCAGGCCUUGGCUUUGUACUUCAGCAAUGGAGAUGAGGAAAGCACACAUAUCUAGUCAAUCUCAGGUGUGCUGUUGCUUUGGUCAUUUCAAACUCGAUGUGACAGCAAUUAACAGAUUAGGACAUGCUAUAGGUAGUCAAAAGAGAUACUCAGAAUGCAGGGUUGUAAAAGAGUCUUAUUUAUUAGAAAUAAUAACAAAGUACUUUUAUACACAUGUUAUGUAACAUAUAAAGUCUGGGCUAUUAGGCUCCAGGGUAAUAGUGAAUUUAUUAUAGAACCUAAAAUACCAAGCUUAAAUACUUAAGAAUUCCUGCUUACAGCUAGAGUUAUUUUUUUUAAUUUAAGUUUAGUAGAUAAAGGUCUAUUGAAAAAUACUGCAAAAAUAUGAAAUUUCAAUAGCAUCAGUGACCAUAUGUAUUGUAAAACUCUCUUUCUGGAGAAAUAGUGAAUUGACCUAGCCCAAUAACAAUACAUUUUCUCCUAAAAAAUGCAAGUGUAUAUAGCAAUACUGUAUACAUAUAUGCAAACAACAAUAUUCUUCCAUCAAAAAUGAAUAACCCUUAAAAAUUAUAAUGUAUACAGCAGACCACUCUAUGCACAAAAACUAUAUUUUGGAGUCAAAGAACAGUAAAGUACAACCAACUGUAGAUCUUCUUUGUUAAUGGACCAUGGGAAGAACAUUAAAACACAAAUAAACAAAGUUAGUUUAUUUAUUUGACAAAUAUUUUGAGCACAUAUCAUGUGCCAGGUGUUGUGUUUGGCACUGACAAUGCAAUUGUGGACAUGACAGGCAUGUUCUCUGCUCUUGUGAAAUCUAUUGUCUAAUGGAGGAAGCUGACAAAUAGGCUAUUACAAUAUAGCAUGAGAAGUGCUAAUAGGGAAAGUACUGAGUUCCACAUGAUGAGGAAGCAAACACAUAGAGAGAAACUAAAACUAGAUUUAAAGGAGUCAGAGUUUUCCUGGAGGACAUGCUGUCCAAGUUGAGGACUUAAGAGUAUGCAGAUAUAGGUCAUUCUGGUGAGGUUAAAGAAAGAAGGGAAAGUAUGUACAAAAUUUGGGAAGUAAGAAAGCAUGCCUCUUUCAAAACAUAAACAUUUCAUGAAGGGCUUGUAAAAUGUAUGAAGGAAUAAGACGUUUAUCAUAAUGGUAACAAGCUGCCAUUAAAAACAUUUAGGCUACGGAGAUUAGAGUUUUAUUUUAGAAACAUUACUGUAUGGGGCAGCGAGAAGGGUCCCCGCCUGGCCCGGCAGACGGCCCCCACCACCCUGGCUCUCCUGGCGGCCCCGCUCGCUCUGUGAUCAGCCACCCCGCCCGCCCGGCUCUUAGCCACGAGGCCGCUGCCUACCGGGUUCUACAAGCGGCCCCCGGCGGCCGGCGUGGAGAGAAGGGUCCCCGCCUGGCCUGGCAAACGGCCUGCGCCCUCCUGGCUCUGCUAACGCCCCGCCCGCACGGCUAAUGGCCCCCUGCCCGCGUGGCUCUGCAAACGGCCCUGCCCACCUGGCAAACGGCCCCCCGCCGCCCUCCGGGCUCUGCUGGCGCCCCGCCCGCAGCCAGUGCCCCAGGCUCUGCAGGCGGCCCCCAGCCGCCCUGCACAGC
rnacentral:lncRNA from 1 species